rnacentral:rRNA from 1 species
GAUGAACGCUGGCGGCGUGCCUAAUACAUGCAAGUCGAGCGAACAGACGAGGAGCUUGCUCCUCUGACGUUAGCGGCGGACGGGUGAGUAACACGUGGAUAACCUACCUAUAAGACUGGGAUAACUUCGGGAAACCGGAGCUAAUACCGGAUAAUAUAUUGAACCGCAUUGUUCAAUAGUGAAAUACGGUUUUGCUGUCACUUAUAGAUGGAUCCGCGCCGCAUUAGCUAGUUGGUAAGGUAACGGCUUACCAAGGCAACGAUGCGUAGCCGACCUGAGAGGGUGAUCGGACACCCUGGAACUGAGACACGGUCCAGACUCCUACGGGAGGCAGCAGUAGGGAAUCUUACGCAAUGGGCGAAAGCCUGACGGAGCAACGCCGCGUGAGUGAUGAAGGUCUUCGGAUCGUAAAACUCUGUUAUUAGGGAAGAACAAAUGUGUAAGUAACUAUGCACGUAUUGACGGUACCUAAUCAGAAAGCCACGGCUAACUACGUG